rnacentral:lncRNA from 1 species
AGAGCCUGCGCAGUUCCCCUCAAAGCCAGGGGCUCUAGGGACGUUGUGUCCAGAAUGUCUGUGGGUUUUGCCACAGCCACACAUGAAAGCCCGAGGUAAGGAAAUCAGCCUAUAACGGGGAAGAGCAGCUUACCUGUGAAGGUGAGGAUGAAAUCUGCAUUAAUACUUCUGUCCUGCCAGCUACAGGCAUAUGGAUGGGUCUGCCAGGGGCUAAUGCGCACAACUCAAUACUCUUCAGACAUUCAUCGAGUACCUCCCAGGCUGGGUGAUGGACUGGAUCUGAGAACCAGGAGAGUCACCCUGAAGCCGAUGGUUGAAACAUCUCUGCAGCUGCUGGCACAGGUCUCGGGAUGGGAUGUCUCUGCUUCGCCAGACUGCCUGCUCCCCCGUAGAUGAGUCCCUGGAGGAGUUCGGGCUCAUGGCCCCUCGGACGCAAACCAUUAAGCCACGCUGCAGCAUAAAGGACCAGAAAGGUGAAGCCUGAUGCCACCGUCUCUGCCUUCCUUGGGGUGGGACUGGGGUGCGCCUGGGGUGCUAUCUGUGGAAUCAAUGGGCUCUUAGAGGAGGGACUUGGCAUGUUGACUAAAGAAAUUCUUCUUAGGGGAAUGUGAUUCAUUUUAUUAUACUGGGAGAUAUAGAAAUGCAUAUGAAUGGGCAAUUUUAUCGCUUGUUUUGAGCAUGACGCUUUAUUAGAGUAGUGGGUGGGCUGUGUUGUACCCAUUACCCGCUGUUAACAGU